rnacentral:rRNA from 1 species
UACGUAGGGGGCAAGCGUUGUCCGGAUUCAUUGGGCGUAAAGAGCGUGUAGGCGGCCUGGAAGGUCAGCUGUGAAAACUCGAGGCUCAACCUCGAGACGUCGGUUGAAACCACCUGGCUAGAGUCCGGAAGAGGAGUGUGGAAUUCCCGGUGUAGCGGUGGAAUGCGCAGAUAUCGGGAGGAACACCCGUGGCGAAGGCAGCAUCCUGGGAAGUUCCUGACGCUCGGGUGCGAAAGCCAGGGGAGCGAACGGG